AUGAAAUAAAUCUCAUGCCGUGAUAUUGUGUUGCACCUGUCAGAAACAUUCCACUAGAUGGUGCUGUCAAGCUGUCGUUGAAUUUUUUGCCACACAUGCAAUCGCAAAACGGUCAGCGCUGCUCCAAGCUGACCCGAUAUUUUAUUAUCCUAUUUGAUAUUCCAUUGAGUGUGUAGUACUGUAUACAGUACUUACUCUCUGCGUGAUAAAUGUCAAGUACUUUUUAAAGUUCCAUUCAUGGGAACUAGGGCCCAAAGCAGCUAAUGAGACGGGGCCUUCUCUGGCUCUGAUUCCCUGCCACAUGUGUUUUCUGCUUGAGGAACAAAGUUUCUCUGAGAGAGAAGUACCGUAUCCUGUGACAGUGAAUCACCACAACUGCUAAAUAUGUGUGUGUGUGUUCUAUAUAUAUUGGUUUACCAGUAAAAGUGUUUGCUAAAUAAUAGUUCAAUGAUGUGGAUGUGUUACAACAGUGACACCAGACAUUGGCUGGUCAAGAAUAACUUCAAUCCUCGUUCCUAGACAUCUGAAAUGUCAUCACGCCUUCAGGCUCUAGUUUACACAAUCCUGUGGGAGAGACAAGAGUCCAGUACCCAUGGAAAACCCAAACAUGUGCAUGUGAACUGCUGGUCUUCUUGCUGUAAGGCAAGAGGACUAACCACUCUGCCACCCCAUGGUGCCUAUUGUAAUGUUGUGUUUGUUUAUUCUGAUCAUCGUCUUUAUCCAAAGGCGCAGCAGCCAGAGGCGUGGGCUGGAAGAAAAGCAAGACGGUAAAAUGUCUGUUAGGAUUACAAUUCAGAAUUCAGAACUACAGUACCAAACAAGUUCAAUCCCUACAUGACGUCUGACAAUACGUAACCAGUCUUGGGGCAGGAAUAAGUCAAAGAGGAAUCACUGGACCACUUCGCUUACAUUUUAAAAACAACUGGGCUUGGACCCACACAUGUCUACACCCACUGUCAUCACAAUUGCAAGUUGCUCAAUAGUUGUUUUUUUAUUGCACCUAGGUUGUUGGUGUACUUCUCAGUAAAACCUGUUACGUUUACCUAAUCAUAUAUUUGUUUAACAAGUAUUGAUACAUAUAAAAGCUUCUGUAUGACACUCU